UCCAACGCGAGCAGACACCAAAUACCCCCGAUCCCCUUCGCCUGGCUUCGUGAACCGUAGCGGCUCCGCCUCGCCUGCCGCCGUGAACCGCAUCUGCGUCCGCAUCGGCACCGCCUCGCCUGGCUCCGUGAACCGCAGCGGCGCCGCCUCGCCUGCCGCCGUGAACCGCAUCGGCGUCCGCAUCGGCACCGCCUCGCCUGUCUUCUCCGUUGAGAUCGGCAUCCGCAUCGGCAUGUUUUGGUCGGUCCGCUUGCGCAUGCGAUCCCGCACUCCGCGACUCCCGGCUUCCUCAAAAUGCCACCCGCAGAGCCCCGCACGACAUGCGUUGAGACAAAUGCCAUCAGACAACACGAAAAAAAACCAAUGAAGACAGGACCCGACCGCCUCCGACCUCCUCAGUCGCCACCGCAGUGCCUCCCCUUCCUUCUCGAUCCCCGCCGCCCCUGCACCAACGCCGAGUCACGCGGAGAGGAUCCAGCAGGCCAGGCACCAGCGGGAUCCAGCAGGGCGCGCGGCCCUCCCAGAUCCGAGCGACCGCCGGCAAACCCAGCCCGCCGCCAUCCUGGUCUUCGAGGCCAUGCUCUCCCUCGCCAGGCCAGGACGCCAUGAUGGAUCAAGCCUCGAGGCAGGCGGUGUGAGGCCAAGGGCGGUGGCACCUCACCAGCAAGCGCCACCUCCUCCCACAGAUCCGUCGACACCUUCAACUCCUACGCCCAUAUUUCUGAGAAUUGCGUAACUGCAUAAUCUUAAUAGGGAGUUCCAUUUUGGGGUAUCACCACAAAUUAUUUGGAAGAGGGGUUCAGUCGAAGAACUUAGGUUAUACUUCGACAAAGAAUAGAAGGUUCUACUGCAAAGCAUAUAAUGAACAGUUCUCAGGUGUAACUACUGAGUAGGAGCCUGAAUCAUCCACUAAUACUCUUGAGUGGGUGGCAUCUGUUCUUAAUGUUUUGUUCAGGAUACCAGAAUUGUUCAAGAACCUGGUGUCCUUCAUCCAUGGAUUAGUUGCUGUAUUGGCCAUACUUUUUAUUCACGAUUGAAGGCUCUUCUCACUUAAGCACCUCACCGUGCCCUACUGGAUAUCCUCCUGUGUAAACAACAUCCAGGCCAUGAAGAGAAUUGGCAUUCAUAUAAUGCUGGCUAGACAUGCGCUACACUGUAGGAUUGUAGGCUGUCAUUCCAUGGCUAAUUGGGUAUGGUUCUAAACUGUCUCAACUGGAAGCUUUAAUCCUAAGGGUAGUUUGGCACAUGAAGAAAGACAUCAGAACCUGCAAAGGCACAUUUCAGGAGUUGUUUCUAUUAGUUGGUCCAACAAUAUUGCACAGACCACAGAGAAAAAUGUCUUUUUUAUGGACACCCUUUUCACGUUUUUCAGUGUUUGAUUCAUGUGAGAAUAUUUUUUUUUUUUGGGGGGGGGGGGGAUUGCAAUAUUCUUUUCUAGAAUACCCUUGCCCAAGCAAGAAUAGGAGGACGAGCCUCCACCUAGCUGAGAUUCAGAUCCUUGUGAACACCUGAAGCUACUAAAGAAAAAGGAGAGUAACGGAUGGAAUUAGAAAGAGGAGGGAUGUUGAUGGCAAUGACAUGAUGUCAAUAUAAAUGCAACACCGUAGGAUAAUCCCCGCUGGAAUGAAUACCUGUGCACCGAACAAGGCCUGUGUCUGUUGGACCGAGCUAAUGCUGUAUAAUGUGGAGAUUGAAGACCACAGAAAAAGUGAAAGGUUUCAUAAAGUAUGGUGCAAUCUAUUAGUAAAAUUUUGGUCUUAUCAUGAAAUAGUCAUUGAUUUAGAACGACUAUUUACCAAGUUUGAUGAAUAUUUAACGUGUGUUACUCUAGAUGUAUAUUUCUUAAAUGUUGGUUAUUUCCAUGUAUUUAAAAAUGUGGGCUAUUCUUAACAUUGGCUAUUUCCAUGUAUUUAAAGAUAUGGGUUACUUGAAUCUGUGAAAGUUGAUCUCAUAUAUU